rnacentral:rRNA from 1 species
AAUGAACGUUGGCGGCAUGGAUUAGGCAUGCAAGUCGCGCGAUAAACGUAGCAAUACGUGGAAAGCGGCGAAAGGGACAGUAAUGUAUGGGUACCUACCUCGGGGUCUGGGAUAGCGGCGGGAAACUGCCGGUAAUACUGGAUAACCUCUCUGGAGCAAAGGUGUGAUUCCGCCUGGAGAUGGGCCCAUAUGCUAUUAGCUAGUUGGUGUGGUAACGGCUCACCAAGGCAAAGAUGGCUAGCGGGUGUGAGAGCACGACCCGCGUCACUGGGACUGAGACACUGACCAGACACCUACGGGUGGCUGCAGUCGAGAAUCUUCGGCAAUGGGCGAAAGCCUGACCGAGCGAUGCCGCGUGCGGGAUGAAGGCCCUCGGGUUGUAAACCGCUGUCGAGGGGGACGAAAUCUUGGUGGGUUCUCCCAUCAAGUUGACCGAUCCCUGGAGGAAGGGUGGGCUAAGUUCGUGCCAGCCGCCGCAGUAACAC